rnacentral:rRNA from 1 species
CACGUAGGGGGCGAGCGUUGUCCGGAUUUAUUGGGCGUAAAGAGCUCGUAGGUGGCUUAGUAAGUCGGGUGUGAAACCUCCAGGCUCAACCUGGAGACGCCACCCGAUACUGCUAUAGCUUGAGUCCGGUAGGGGGAGCGUGGAAUUCCUGGUGUAGCGGUGAAAUGCGCAGAUAUCAGGAGGAACACCAGCGGCGAAGGCGGGCGCUCUGGGGCCCGGUACUGACACUGAGGGAGCGAAAAGCGUGGGGGAGCAA